rnacentral:lncRNA from 1 species
GUUAAGCAGAUGUGGUUGUUAUGGAUCACAAUACCUUGUACGUUUAGUAAAACGUUCAUCUUUAUGUGUAUAUAUAAUAAGUAGGGUUUUCUUUUAUUUUUGUUUAAAAACUACACAAGAGGAGGACUACUUUCUCUUUUCUCUCCAUUUUAGAUAAAUUAACAGAGAUGUGUCCAACACAUUAUUUAAAAUACCCUAAAGAGGUCUAUAUUUAAACUACCUCUUCUAUACAAGUAAAUGGCAGGAUGUGUAUCUGGGAAAACAAAAUACUGCAGGAUUUGUAACUGACGACCUCCUAAACAUUUUCCCUUGCUUCUGAGGGCUGGAAGAGCCCUUCUGUGCCACGCUGGAGAACCUGCUGUCACUGAUAAUGGUGUUGCAGUGCGAGAUGGGAAGGCAACCGCCAGCGCUUCACUGCUGAAGAUCCACCCCAGCCCGUUCCCCUAUGACAAACCCAGUGUGGAUAAGGAGAUGUUAAACAGGAUUUGGGUAAAGAGAAGUUUCGG